GGUUGGAACGAUUCCAACUCAACUCAUUAGGGUUUAUCGAUCAUCAAGAUAAUCCCUAUGAGUCCCACCAUCCACCAGUGACACCUAGCAGCAUGUAGUGGCUACCCAGCAGAAUGGAAUGAUGAACCUCUAGGUGCAGUUAACAUGUGAUACAGUCCUACUAUCGUGGAUCCCUACAGAACGGAGGUCAUGGACAACUCGUCAAACCCCAUCGUCUGUCAUAUGUCAAGAUUUGUUCGACUUGAGUUCGAUAGUGGAAAACUCUUUUUCACUUUAUAUUACUGCCCUGGCCAAGGUCUUAGAACUCAGUCUAACAAAUCACAUAGGAUCACUCCUUUUCUAUCAAGGUCGAUAGAUUCCUUAUAGGUGCAUACCCUACUCCUACAGUGAACCUACUGCAGCCAAUCUACACUGUAUGGACCCAUAUGGCUAGAGACCAUGUAUGUGUGCAGUCAAACUACAAUAACCUCACUGUGAGUAGCCGAAGCACCGCAAGUCAAAGGACCAGUCACACUACUGCAACAUCAAGCAAGUCACUGACGAGUGGAUAGACAUCCAAGUGACUUCUUGUCUUGGUCACGCUCAGUACCCUUGUUCUCUAACAAGCACCUGCACUAUCACUUCAGUGUCCCUACACUAUGGACUCAAGUCUCGUCCAUCCAGAAGGAAAGUGAUCUGUGCACUGAUCGGAU
rnacentral:lncRNA from 1 species